AAAAUAUUCAUCUUCGUCUUCUUCCAUCUUUCCUGUGCGCCGUUGACGUCGAACACGUCAAACACAUCAAACACACACACACACACGCACACACAUAAAAGGAAAAGAGCAACAACGCCCUCACCCCCUCUCUCCCCCUUCCCCAAAGAAGAAACACGCGCGGUACAUGCAAAGAAAAAGUGCGAAGGAAAGAACGAGAAGAAAAAACAAACAAGAAGACACACCUCACUCCAUUUUUUCUGUCGUUUUGGAGGAUUCUCUUGUUGCUUCUUUCCCCCUCUAGGCGUCUUCCUUCUUUGUUUUGUUGUCGUUGUCACGGGCUUCCUCCUUCCCUCUCUCUGUCUGUCCUCAACACACGCGUUCUCUUUCUCUCUAUCUGGAGUCCUCGGCCACAUCAAGAACAGUAAUCAUACGGACUAUUAUCUGUCUCCUGCGUGCUUCUCUCUCUGUAUAUUUUUUGCUUGUAAUUUUCACCUUUUUCUUAUUUCUUACUGUUCUUCACUGCUUUUCUUUGCGCCCUCUUGAUUUUUAUUUUAUUUUGUGCUCUUCCGUAUUUCGAGACGCUUCUGUAGGAAGUGGUGCAUCGAAACAAAAAAAAGGAGAAAAGCAACAGCCGCAGGAAAGGAAAAAAGAAAAAGGAAACAACGGCAAUCAGGAACGCCGAAGACGAAGGACAGUAAACAUAGCACACUCGCGCAGACUCACGCACGCAAACUCGGAUCUUGUGCUACCGCUCCUUCUCUUUCCUUUUUCUCUGUUUCCCUCUUGCCCAGCCGUUUCGUCGGUGCAAGCUUUUCCGCCCUUUCGUACGGUGCGCAUUUUUUUUUUUCGCUUUUCGCUCCGUCUCUGUGCACGCUUGCAGUCAGGUGUGUAAGAGUUCGAAGGAACGAGAGACUGGCGCACAAGCACAGACACCCCAUUUCUCCGCUCUCGGUUGUUUUCUUUGUUGUUGUUCCUCCUCCUUUUUUUUUUUCGUGCCGGGGUUUCGCUGUCUAUUGUCUGUCGUCUUCUCUUCCUGCGCUUAUUUAUUUCUUCUCCCCCUCUCUCUGUGUGCAUGUGCAUGAGUGUGUGUGCUCUGCUGUGUUCCCGCUACUUUUUCUUGUAUCUCUUCUUCUUUUCCUGUUUUACUGUGUUUUUAUUUUUUUUUUUGCGGCGUACUGCACAAACCUUUAGUAUUUUUUGCCUUCUUUUUUGCUUUUGCGCCUCUCUUCUCAUUUCUGUUUUUCUUUUUCAUUUUCGAACUGUUUUAUCUCCACUUGUCUUCUGCGUGUUUUUCCCCCCUCUCUCUCUCUGAGAGUGUUGUUGUCCUGUUAUAUGGGUAGUACUGCUCUUGUCGUUGUUAGCGCGUUCUGCUUGUGUUGGAGUUUUCAAAACUACAGCGGAUAAGAACACCCUAAACCCUCGCAUUUCUCUCGAGAAGAACGAGAAAGGAGCGAAAAUAAAAAGCUGACUGACAACGCAGGAGAAGUUCAUCUCCACCCCCUAGAAGAAGAAAAAAAAACAAAUAAUAUUCCAAGUGCUUUCGGGCUUCGGCAUCACACUCAGCUCCCCGGACGAGACGUGUCUUAUCCUUGUCGUCGCGCUCUUUGUGCACCCAAACCCUUCCCCCCUCGUGUGCUUUUAUGUGCUUGCUAGGGAACGAAAAAGCAGGUAGGACAGCACAGACGCCUCUUUGCAGCAGCUGCCCUCUUUUUUUCUACUUCCGACGUUUUUCUCUAACAAAGGCUUCUCGCAUAUAUGUGCACACGUAUUUUUAUUCCUGCUUAUAUCCCACUACUUUGAUUGUUGCUUGAUUGCUCUUCUUCUUCCACUCCUUCGUGCCUUCUCCGUUUCCCCCCUCUCCCUCCUCCUCGCUUGUCGAUUUGUGCUUUUCGCUCUCUCCCCCUCCCUCUCUCAAACCGACCCCCCCUGGCUUCUUCCACCCGUGUACUCACCUUUGCAGAGUACGUGCGCGUGUCUUGCUCUGCAUGUGCAUAACCACCCCCUCACUCCCUACUCGAGUGCACACACGUCUGUGUCUCCCCCCAGCCGCGCUUCGCGUGCCACCCAUUCUGCCCUUUUGGCUUGUCUGUGGCUUUUUCUUUUCUUUUCUCCCCUCUCCCUCAUCUCCCUUAUUUCUUGUUUUCUGUGUUGUAUCGUUUUCAGCGCCACCCGUUCGCUGUGCGCAAUUUUCUUUGUGUCUCUGCGCGCCCCUCUUGGACUCCACUCUCUUUCUUUCACUUAGCCUGUUUUAUCAGCUAUUUUUUUUAUAGUUUUCGGGCUUCCUCAUUUCGUGUCUGUACGCAUCUGCACUUUUUUGUUUCUUUGCGCGUGUGUGUGUAUACGCGCGUGCGUGUGUGUGCUUGUCUUCUCCCCUCUUUUUUUUUUCGUCCUCUCGUGCCUUUUUGUUUUUCCCACUCAAACGUAAGAAUUUUUAGAGUGCCUCCUUUUCGUUCCGUCGGACCUUGCGGCUGGCUGUUGUGCUCCCCUUUUUCUUCGACCCUCUCUUACCCCUACGGGGCCCCCCUCCGCUGCCGCUCUAUAUUCUGUGAAUUCCCUUUUUUCUUUUUUUUUGUGAGCGACAGGCACUUUCUCCCUCGCCCCCCUCCCUCGCUCCUCUCCCCCCCCCACACACCGCACAAAGCAACCACCACAUCACGUUUCUCUUGUGCGUGUGCGCGUUUGGUGUUCGCCGCUCCGGACUCGCGCGCGCGCUCUCUCCGCUCGGUUGAGGUUCCAAAGACUACCCCACCAUUGAUUUAUCCAUUCGUGCUUUGUUGUUGUUGCGUGACGGCAUUUCCUGUUUUUUUUUUCGCGCCUCUGCGUCUGUGUGUGGUGUGGUGUUACGGAAGUUUCUUCUCUCGUUUUUUUAUUGUUUUGUGCUUUACUGACCAUCUUCCUUUCGAAUCUCUUUUUCUCUUGUGUCCGGGUGCUUACUUGUUAUUGUUUCUGUCCUUUCUGUCGUGGUGCGCCUCGCCCGCUCCGAGUUUGCGUUACGGUUUGUGGGUAGAUUGUGCGUUUUUUUUAUUGCUCUUCUGUUCGAUCACCUACAACUUGUAUCGGCCUGCUGUUCUUCUAUCUUCCGAUCUUUUCAGCUAUCUGUCCACCCACCUCCAUCGUCACGCACAAUAAUGACCCGCCUCAACUCCUCUUGCGUCUCAGUGCAGAGGAACAGGUCGAUUUGCCAGAGUGCUGCUUCGCCUGAAGCGGUGCUGCCGUCCGCUUCCAUUCUGCCACCACCUACGAGAGAGGGAGCUUCUGCUGGCGUUGCGUAUUCCCGCAGUGACGAAGGGCGCAGCAACGACAAUGUGACCCCACAGACACUGAAUGCGGUGAACUCGUUCGUGGCAAGUGGCAAGACGAAGAAGAUUGCCUCGAACAGCAGCAGGUCCAGUGACUCAAACCUCUACCAGCCGCGCGCCGCCGUGCAGAAGAAUCAGGCUCCAGCUACGAACACACGUUCCAGCUGUGGCGCGGCGGCACCGAGGAAAGGCCGCAGCAGACGCGCUUCCACUGCGGCACAUGCCACCGCCUCCAACGAGAGCAACCUGCACAACAGCAAUCUUUUUAUUUGCAACUUAGACACGAGGGUGAGCCAGGCAGAACUCGAGACAGCGUUUGCCGAGCACGGCACCAUCCUGAGCUCUGCCGUCAUGCGCGACAUUCACACAGGCGAGAGUCUCGGCACCGCCUUUGUGCGGAUGAGCUCGCACGAUGAGGCUCGAUGCACGAUGGAGGCGAUGAACGGCGUACACGUCGGCUCUCGUUCCAUCUCUGUUCAGUGGGCGAGGCGCAGUGAGGGAGGGCCAGUUGGCGAAGCCCGCAAGAAGAUCAUGAAGCUGUUUGUGCGCAACAUUCCCCUCGACUGCACGAAGAUGGAUCUAGAGGAGCUGUUUGGGGCGUACGGCAGUGUGCGCCAGGUGACGCUGCACAAGGACACGUCGCCGGUGCAGGAUGAGGCGAUGGUGCGGCUGAUUGCGUUUGUGAUCUACACCGAGGAGGGCGCGGCGGAGCGGGCGGCGCGGGAGGUGCACAACACGAAGCCGUUCGCGUCGUGCAACGGCAUCCCCAUCAUGGUGAAGCUGGCUGAGGACCUAGCGAAGCACUACCGCGAACACAAUCACCAACAACAGCAGCAACAGGGCGACUCGACCCCUACCGCAGCUGCCACCAAGCAGCGGCACCGGCGCAGCCACAGCCAGCGAAACAGCUUGACCCUUAUAGCGAGUAAGAGCCCCAGCCACAAACAGACCAUCAGCAGCGGUAACGCCGUCAUGGGCCUGAGCAGCCACACCAGCAGCACCACGCUGAGCAUCCACGCUGGUCAAUCGGGCGGCGCCGAUGCAUCGAUAGUAGAUAUGGGUGUUCCCUCUGACGUCUCGUUCUGCACAAAUUACCCCCAGCUCACACCGCCGCAGUGCAACGUGCCACCGGUGAAAACACCGCUGGGCUCGAUGACGCCAGCAACGCUUCUGCAGCAACACAGGAUGAGCUGUGUGAGAGGUGCAGCUGCGUCCUCUGCCGCCCCGCUCUCUCCUUCCAACGCUCUUCAGUUUCUGGCGACAGCACCGUCAAACGCUGGCGGAAGGAUGCCAGCGGUCAGUACCCCGACAUGUAAAGGCGCGGCGGCGGUGCCGUUCGUGGCGGGCUCGCAGCGGCCCUCGUUUAUUGAUAUCCCCAACAGCCAAGUGGCGCAGAGCUUCUUCUUCAACAGCUCGACACCGCAGCUGUCGCAGUACGCGCCGCCUCAGCAGCAGCAUCACCAUCUGCAGCUUCCCCAAUUGAGCGAGCUACCCAUCAACGCGCCAGUGACGCCCAGGCUCUACCACUUGCCGACAGCUCACGCGGUUCCGGAGCGUCAGGACUCGCGCGCUGCAGUAGUGCUUCCAAACCCUCGCUGCGAGGCGCUUCCGGUACAGGGCCGCUCUAUGGACGAUUCGCAGCCCAUAGUGGCGUACUCGGGCCCAGGGGAGGAGAGCGACCUGCGGAUUGUCGAUACCGCACCGGUAGCGCAUCCGGUUUCGCUGCGCCCACAGCCGAACGUUAAAACGGCGCCGCCAAAGCUGCCGCAGACGUACCGCCACAACCCCUACAUCAGCUGCAGCUUUAUUCGCGUGGGCUGAAAAAGGCCCGCUGCUCUCCUGCUCCCUGCCUCUCUCUUUUUGUGUGCCGUACAAAACAGGCUUGGUGCCCGCUGCUCCUGGUCGUGCGGAGAGUAUCCAUCUGUGGCUUUUUUUUUGUAUAGCGGUGCAAAAGCGUGUGGUGGCUCUCCUCGACCUCUCUCUUCUGCUUCGCUAUGUUGUGCGCGGGCGUACAUUCAUCACAUGGUGGUGUCUUCAGAGGGGGAGGGAAGGAAGGGCGAGGAGGGAAGACUUGCGUUCCAUUUUCCACACACAUGUGACAUGUUUUUCUGUCUCGCUGACGCCGCUGCCGCUGUAUGCUCUCUCUUACCGUGCACAUGCGCGUGUUGCUUUGUGUGAGUCUGCCGAGCAACAGCAGCAGCAGACGCUUACGCAGCUCUCGCUCGGGCUUUUUUUCUUCAGUCGUUUCCACUUUUUCUGCUGCCACUCGUUUCUCUCACCCUCCCUCUCCUCAGUGCCUUCAUCCCCCCAUCCCCACAUGCUUGUCUUCCUGUUUCGUUUGCCAGCUGUCUUUGUCUACUUCAAUAACAUACCCACCAGUGCUCUUCUCUUUUUAUGCUUUUCUGCAUACCUUCCUUCAUAUUGCGCGCGCGCAAACGAAAACGGCUUUGAUUCUGGUUUCGCUUGCUUACAUUCUUGUUGCUCAUCACACCAUCUUCGUUCCCCCUCCCCCUCCGGCGGGUACUUGAUGCGCUCGAGUCAAUUUCGAUUCUCCUUCCCAUAUGUGCGUGUCUAUGUCUCUUUUCUUCUCUGCGUGCAAUAAAAAAAAGAAAGAAUCGUUUUUUUUUUACUUCCAGUCGGUGAUUGUGCUGUUUCACUUGUAGUGGUUAAUAGCCGUUCAACAGCAUCAACUUUCUCUCUAUCUUUUUCUUUUUUUUUUGGUACGUCUUAGCUGUCAACAUAUGUAUAUAUUUGUGUGUCUUCUCUCAUGUGCGCGACAGCACACUUAUCCGCCACCCUGUUUCCUUGUCUACUGCAAGCUCCCUAAAAGGCAUAUGGACGCUUCAAAGAAAAAAGAGAUAAUCGAGGAGAGAAGUCGGUGUGCGUGCGCUGGUGGUAUCCAUCUGCCACAGGACAAGUGGUCACUGUCCGUCUGCACGGCUGUGUGCGUGUGCGCUCGGGUUUGGAUGUGGAUGUGCUUUAGUUCUACCUUUUUUUCCUGCCUCAGCCUCUCAUUUCUAUGUACGACUGCGUGCAUGUGUCGCACGCCCGUCUCCGAGUCCAGGGGCAGCGAUUUUGCAUGUGCGCGGCCUCCCUUGUUUUCUUCCUCUCAUGUAUUUCCUUGUCUUCUUAUGUCAAUGCUAUUUUCCAUUUCUCUUCAGCUGUCGCCGUUGGUCUGUCUGCCUCUCUCUAUCUGUGUUGUUUGUGUACGCAUACUCGUAACGUUUUCUGAAUACGUAUUCCUUCCUCUUUACUAUUCCCUACAACUUCUGCUGUUUUUCUUCGGUCCCCCUUUUUUGUUCUUGCGCGUCCCGAAGCGCUGUACUUUCUGCGCUCGGCGGUCUCUUCUUUCUCUCUUUCCGCCACCGCUGCCGAAGUUCGGCGCCUGCAUUGUCUUGCUUCACACGCAGGUGUGUCUGGAAUCAUUACAAGAGGACGAAACAGGAGGGAACAGAAGCACCCCCUCCCUUUUGUAUGGAUUUCGCUUGCUCUUCUUCGUCUCUCAGGAAUGCGCAUGCUUGUAUAAUGUUUUUUUUUUUGUUGUGUCGUCUUUGGCUGUGUUCGAGCUUCUCGACGGCGCAGAGCGAGGCGCUUGCCCCACAGCUGCGUGAGCACCACCAGAGAGACGUGAGGCAUCGAAAUAGAAGGAAGCACGCAAAACCAAAACAAAAAAACGACGAAAAAACAAAAGAGCGAGAGUCGUGUCUCAAACAUGGCUGUAAUACGACCAAAUAGUAAGCGGUAUGGUGGAAAAAGAAAAAGCGGAGCGAAUGAGCGUCUUUUUUUUUGUUGUGAUGGACAGUCUGCGCCGUAAUGCGAUGGAUUGGAGAGGACGCGGGAGCGAAUCCGUUACUCUCUCUUCCUUUUUUUUCGUUUGCAUCUCUUCUUGUCACCUUCUUGUUUAAUUGUCCGGUGUCCUUCGGGGUGUUUUUGGUUGGAUUUAUCGCUAUCAUUUAUGCUCGUUUCCUUCGUCUCUUCGUCGGGAGCCGCUUCGUCUCUUGGCCUCUCCCGCAUGUGCUUCUGCCUCUCCGCUUUAACGAAGCGGAGUUUCGACUCUCUUCUUUUUUUGUUUGCUGCUUGUUGUUGCUGUUGCUCCAAGCUUCACUUCUCUCGCGUACUUGUGUGUAUGGGCGUGCUGCUGGAGUGUUUGUCUUUUCCCUUAAAUAGCCGUUUCAAGCAUGCGUGACUGCUUCUGGGAGACACACUCUCUCUAUAUCCUUUUUUUGUCAUUUCUGUGUGUAUGUGUGUGACGCACCCCGUUCGUUUUUGCUUUCGUUUUCGUUACUUAUUUAUUAUUGCUUUUUGCCCCAUCUAAGCAAUCGAUGGUGUCCCGUCAUCUCUUACCACGCUAUUUUCAUUCUCCUCCUCGCCCCGUUUUUUUUUUUGGCCUGGAUGUGCUGCUUGCUGUGCGUAUGUGCGCCUGCGUGGUAUUACUGCUUUUAUGAUUGUUUUUUUUGUUGUUCUUUUUGUACCUGCAUGCAUGUAUGGGUGCCCCCACGUCUACCCCCUCCCCUCCCCUCGAAGAAAGACAGUCACAACAACGAACCCCUAGGCCCGCGCGCGCACACAUGCACAAGUACCGAGCCUCUUUUACUCAGCUGGCUUGCUUUUAACCCUUGAAAACGAUAUCUGUCACGGCAGAGAGAGGACAAAAAAAAAUAACUUGUACGUUCCUAUCGCUCUCCUCGUGUAUUGGUCUCAUUUUCGUGUCUUGCUUCUCUUUUAUAGUUGAGGUGACCAUUCGUUCGCUACAUCCUUUCUAUGUGUUUGUGUGCAAUGGGUGCAUGCGUUCGUGCGUGGGCGCGAAGACCUCGCCCUUCUCUUCUCUCCCCUUCUUUCCAAUGACCCACACGGUGGGCCACUUACGCACAUGCGCUCCGUGCGCACACUCCCUCACGCUUACAUUCCCCACGUAAGUUUUUUUUUUUCAUUUGUAGGCUGCUCCUUCUCAUUCUCUACGGUUUUGUAUUGUAUGGUUAGCUGGUCUCUCUUGAUAGUGGUACAAGAAUAUUUUAUUAUUAUCUUCUGAUGUUUGUUUGCUUUAAAGGAUGUGUGAGAGUUUUUUAUUUUUUUUUUCUGCUCACAUCUCAUUCACUCUCUUCAUCUCUUAAUUUCUUUUUCUGUGCCAUCCCUCUCCCUUCAUCUCUUUCUUACCUGUUGGCAUUUUUUGUCGUUUCUUGUUUUUCUUUUAUUAUUAUUAUUUUUUCCAUUUGACCUCCCCUGCCUUUAUCUUCAUUACCUCCCCCUCCCACACACACACGCAGCAUUUGAAUAAAGCGCUCUUGAAGCACCAGAGCCACAUACAACAAAAAAGGAAAGCACACAAAGCCAGUGAAAAGUGAACGAGCCUCAAUAGCCGUCUCACAACGAGUGAGACGCGAGGAUGAAGUGGAUAGUCGACGAAUGUUUUUUUCCGUUUUCAUUUUCUUUGUUUUUGGUGUUGCGUGUGAGAAGACCUUGUGGUUAGAGGAAGGACGAAGAACGAGAAGAGGCCCGACACGAUACCGUCGAGGAUUUGUGAAGGACCCCUGCAAUGGCGCGCGCAUACGGUGUGCAGCUUAUCGGAAGAACACAGCCCCCGUUGUGUGUAGAGCACCGCGCCUGCAGUUUCACGACGACUUCACCAGAAAAAGAAGUCUUCCACAAUACCGUUCACCACUGUAUACAUUUGUAUGGGGGUGCGUGUCUCUGUGUCCCUUCCGUCUCUGUGGCUUUCUGUUGAGUUCCUCUUUCGUAUGUGGUGAGACUCUCCCCCUCUUCGCCUUUUGUUUCGUGACAUCGCGCGCUCUGUCUGCCUCUCUCUCUGCCCUCCCUUUAAACCUUGUUAUGUCGGGUCUUCUGUGCUGAUGUUGAUCACUUCCUUCUUUUUUUCUGUACACUGGAACGAAAAAACAACAACAUCACCAACACACAACCCCCUCCCUCCCUCGAAAAAAAAAAGAAAUAAACAAGGAAAUGGCUGCCUGUCUGUUUACUUCCGCCCCCCUUUUUUCCUUUUCUUGUUCCCCCCUCACUUCUGCUUUUCUUUUUCCUUUUUUUUGUGAUCUGUCGAUUUCAGUUUCGCCUCCGCUUUCAUUUUUUUUUGUAUUUUUUUUUUCGGCCUUUUCUCGCUUUUCUCUCGUAUCUCUUCACUCGCUCUCGUUCUUGCUGCACCUUCGGUUUCUCUGUUUCUCUUUUUUUUUGUUUGCUCGGUUGUUUUCUUGUGUCACCACGACUUGUCUCCUCUCUCUCACACUUUCGCUUCACCUAUUAUGCCUCUCCCCUUCUCCGCUCUCUGCUUUACAGAGAGGUAUACGAUUAGCAACCUAUCGGCACUCCCCUCACGGGCACAUCUACACACGCGCACACUCUUGCAUUAUUGACGGCGUGCACCUCCCAUAUUGGCGUCUAGCAUACUCGUGCUUUGCUUAUUGUGUACAUAUAUCGAUAUAUAUAUCUAUACAUAUACGUACGUGUGUGUGUGUGUGCUCUGCCUCGAAUGGGAUGUGCAGUCCUGUGCGGGUCCUUUUCGCUCGAAUGCCGUCUCUUGCUUCGUGCGCGUGCACUUGUGUGCUCUAUGCAGACGUCUGCGCGUUCGCGCACACUUUCUUUGUCGAUUUCCCCCUUUUUUGUAGUUUUCUUUGUGCGCGUGUGCCUCUCCCCACUCUCUCGGCUUUCGUUUGCUUCUCUCUUCUUUUUUUCUCCUCGUUUGCCGUGCUGCAGAUGAUGACGUUGGCGCUUCUUCUUUGGCUUCCAUUCUUGAUGAUGAUGGACACCGUUGUUGCUGCCACUGCUGCGGCGGAAGGGGGAGGGUGUGAUCGAAAGAAGCUGCCAAACAAGAAGAAAAAGGCAGAACUGAGAAGCAACACAACCACACAAGCGAACGAGGCGGAGGGUCGAAACGCUAAGGCAAGCAGAAAAUGCCAUCGAAAAAAGAAGGAAGGCGGCGAGACGAAACGGCGGGAAAGGGCGUAUAGAAUCUGCCACAAGCAUCCCCCCUUUCCCCUCCCCCCUCCCCCAGGCCUGACGGAAACGACAAUGCAAAAGGGGAAACAAAAAGCAAAACGGAGCGAGCCACCGCCACCGCCACCGCCACCGCCACCACCACCGCCACCGCCACCGCCACCGCCACCGCCACCGCCACCGCCCAAGCUCAUUAGCAAACAGCUUUGUAGCUGAGGGAGGGGUGGGUGGAGAUUUGAAAAAAGAAAAAGCAUGCAGUCCAGAAAACGACACCGAAAGAUGUACAAGGAGUGCGAGAGUGUGCGCGUGCGUUGGGGCUUGCCUAUCUGCUUUUCCUCGUGUUUGGGCGCGAACACAAACGUACAUGCACACACACACACACACACACACACACACACAUGAGCAGAAGAGGGGUGCCGCGCAACGCCAAGAAACACACGGCAGGACACAAGCACGGUCAAGCGCAGACGCUUCUUCAGAAAGAUCUGCACGUUGCGCGGACGUGGCUGUGACCGAGUGCGCGCAGACACGGCGGUAUCUUUUUUUAUGUUUGCUUUUCGUUUCAUUCCUCCCUCUCUCUGUGUUUCACCUUUAGCCCGCCUUUUUUGUUUUCUCGCCUUCUCUCACUUCGGUGCGCUCAACUCCGUGUUGCGUCUUCCGCACAGUCUUCUCUAUUAUUAUUAUUUCGCCCGUUCCUUUUCAGGUCGUUUGAGCUCCUCUUCCCUCCCUAGGCCUUCUUCCCCUCGUGCCCCCUUCCACGAUUAGUGCGACUGGUACGACCACCGCACGUACGGCUAAUGAGUGCGUCUUGCGUUCCCGUUUCCCCAUUUUCUUUUCUUUGCGUCUCGCACGAUUUUGAUGCCGAUCUUGCUGCUUCCGUGCUUCGUCUUCCGUGUAGUUGCGCUGAUGGUAUCUCAUGCCAUAGCCGGCAGGUGCGUGCGACGGACAGAGAACGCAUGAGGCGGAUGACUCUCCCUUUAUCCGCUCUCGAUACAGUGGCAGAAGUUGCGUGUGCGAAUGAGCAGCGGCGGUGGCAGCAACGAGGAUGCGCACGAAAGACAGCUUUUGUCUCCCGCUGUGACCACUAGCAGUCUCUCGUUUUGUUGUUUUAGUUCUUUUGCACCCCCACGAAGAGCGGGGCACACAAUGGCAUGGCUGUGGCAACACCACAAACAGAAAGAAAGAGGUGCUUGCCAGGGCCUCAGCUGACGUGUGAGGAACAGAGGGCAUCUAGACGAGCUGGUUUAGGGCUGCGAUGUCCGGCACAAACACAAACGCGGCUAGCUGUGUGCUCUCUCCCAGUGAGACGAGGCGGAUGAGAGUCGAUCAGGAGAAAGCAUGGGAGCUGCAAAGAUCGACGCGAUGGAAAGGCGAAUAAAAUGCGCUCGGAUGCGUUGAUGCGAUCUCUCUCUUCUCCCGCUUCUGCCUCUUUUCUAGCACUUGCUUGCUUGCCAUGCGCUGUGGAGUUUCCACUGUGCGUGCGCGCAUGCGAGUAUUCUUAUACAAUCGCUCCAUCAGGAUUGUGCCCAACCUCACUCGUGAGGAAAGCCUCCUCUUUCUUCUCCCAUUUUCCUUCUUCACGCAGACGCAGAUGUGGGUCUUGCGUUUGAAAUUUCUUUUUUCAAUUUCUCGUUUUUUGUGGUGUACUCUUCCGUUUUCUUUGCGUGUAUUGUGGUGAAGGCUCGCUUCGGACAGAGAAUGCAGACGUCCGACAGUCGUCCUCUGCCCCUGCGGUGUCUUCUGCUUCAACACUUUCCCUCCCUUUUUUCCCUCUUCCACAGCCAGCCUGCGAACCUUUGUUGUCAUCUCAAAUUGUUUUUUUUUCUUUUUGGCUUCUCAUUUCUUCAACUGUUUAUUCUUUGCGUUCUCGCUCAGUUUACUCAGGCAGUCAGAGCGAACGAUAAGCACCGGCAUCGUGGGCAAGCGCUUACUUUCAUGCUUGGAUACACCUCCUAACGCUCUUUGCCCAAUCGCUGCUUUCUUGUUGGCAUUCGAAGUCCCGAUCGGGCCAUCUUCCCCUUAGCUUUUUAGUGCAUCAGAGCCCAUCUCACCCAUGCCACCCCCCGUUUUCCCAUCUCCAACAGGUAAGACAGGUAAUCCGGAAGGAUGGGUGCUUCAGUACUCUCGUAAGUACCAAUAAAAAGAACAAUAUGCAUAGAAUACCGAAAUACCACCUCGGGUCGUAAGGCUCGGUGUAAACAGCGUGAUCGCACGCGCGCGUACACACACACACACACACACUUCCGAUUGGAUCAUCUGACGGUGUGCACACUAUCGGUGGCAACGUGUAUGCUGCGCUCUCUAACGUUUUCCGCUCUCUCUCCAUCCCCUCUGUGCUCUCACGCGGGCAAAAUGAAAAAAAACAAAGGAAAGGAAAAGAAAGUUUUAUUAUUAUUAUUUUUUUCCUUUGCUCCCUUUUCAAGAAACGUUUUGUGUUGUGCCUUCGACGGUUGUCUCCGCGUGCUCAUCAGCAUGUCGCGAUGCGUAGGGACGUUUUUUUUUUGUAGUGAUGCUUGACUUCUCCGUGUAUUUUGUUGUGUGUGCGUGUGCCUCUCUCUGUGUUGGAGCCUUUGCUUUCCUUCCUAUUAAUGCCAUUUUGUUUGUUGUUUUGAUCUUUUUCGGGCGAUUGGGCUGCGCUUGUUUUUUUUUUCUGACUUUACUAUUUUUUUUUCUCGCCCUCGUCUUUUCUGGAGUUGCCUCUAUGUGUGCAUCUUUGCGUGGCUGGAGAACAUUUUUUUUUUGCUGCUGUUGUUGGUUUCGUUCUCCGUCUGUCUCCCUCUGUCUUGAUCUGUUGCUAUAUGUGCACGUUGGUGUGGUGGCGGAAACUCUCCACUCAUGCUUCAUUUUUUUUUCAAUUCAACGUGCCUUUCGGCCCAUCAUGAGCAAGUCUCAGCCGUGCCCGAAUGCAGGUUUGCGUCUAUGUGUGCUUGCGCGCGCGUCUGGGCCAGCAUCUACUUGUGCGUGGAGCUGACGCGGUUUCUGGAAGGCAGACGAGCGACCAAAGAGAGGUGCGCUCCUCUCGUUCUCUCUUUAUCGUUCACCCUCCUUGCCUGCACUUUUUUUUGUGCGUGUUGCUUAUCAGCUCUUGCCGAUCACGCUCGCGCAUCUCUCGCUCUGCGUUGUUUUCUCUUAGUGGAGGCUUUUCUUUCGCCUGUAUCUUUUCAUCUCCUGUGUAUCCCACCAUCUCGGACUUCUCUUCUUCAUCUUCCCGCCUCUUUGCGUUUGCUAAUACUUAAACCGACACAGACCGCGAGAUGAGGGGAGAACAAGAAAACCAAGAAAAGGAAGUAGAAACGAAACUAAAGCGCAUGAUCGCCGUGAGCAUAUUCCUUUGCACGCGCGCGUUAUGUAUGUGGGUGUGCUCGUCCAUAGGUGCUUCGUGUAUGUGUUUGCCGAUGCCAACUAAAUGCAUACAAAAAGCGCAUCAGCCUUUGUUUCACUGAACCCCUCUUCCGUUGUGUCUUUUUUCCUUUAUUUUUUUCUGAUUGCUUCUCAAACACGAGAGCUGGAUGCUCUUGUGUGUCCGGUUCAUAGGGCAGUAAGGAAAGUCAAGAGCAGGGGAAUCGAGAACGAAAAAGAGGGAAGGGGAACGUUUUGAAGCAGGUAACCCCUCCGAAAAAAAAACAUAAAAGUACAUGCUAACUAUCUUCCCUUUCGCCAGCUCUCUUUUUUCUUGUUAUUGCUGUCUUCCGUUCACUCGCCUGUUUUUUUUUUCCACGUUCUGACGGAAGUACUUAAUGCCUUUUUCUUUCACCUCCUCAUCAUGCUUUUCACAUCUCCCUGUACCUCUCCUUUUUCCAGAUAUCAUCCAUUACGCACUUACUUGCCCUUCUUUUUUUUUUCGAGGUGUUUGUUGAUUGCUCUUCCAUUCGACCUGCUAUCCCUUCAUGGGCUUCCCACUCCCUUCACGCUUGCUCUUGCUCUCUCUCUCUUCACGAGUCUGUGCCCAUGCGCAGAUGCGUGCUGUGCGUGUGUGUGCUUGAGGAGGAGGAGGGGGGGGAAGGGCGAUAGGAUUGCAUUUUAUUUGCUGUAUUCGCCGAUCUUUGCAGUUGUUUCGGGUCCCCUCCCACUCACCCUCCUCUUUCUCUUGCAGACAAUACAGAUCGCUCACCUGCAGCGUUUUUCUCCCCUCCUCUUUUCUGUCUUCCACGCGCGGUGCGCUGCUACGGAGUGUCUCACAAAGGCUUCUUCAACGCAAAACGUGCCAACAUUGUCGUUGUGCACUCUCGCGCUUUUCUCCCCCCCCUCCCCCUCCCUCCCUUGUAUUCCUUGUGUAUGUGUGCAUGUUUUUCUUUCACAUCCUGCCUCCAGUUGUUGGUGUUCCUGCAGAGAUGGGCAACCUCAUUCAAUAAAAAGUAAAGCGGUGACGGCAGGUCCCGCAAGAGCCCAUACGCAUACAUAUUUGCUUACAUUUGCAUAUGCUCUCCUUCGUGUGCACGGGUGCUAGCGUGCCCUCAUCUUUUUCUUUUUGCCGCCUUUCCUCUCACGCAUCUUCACCGGAUUCCUUGAUGCGCUGAUCCUCAUUCCUCUUAUCUGCCCACCUCAGUUUUACUUUUUUUUCUCUGACGUUUUGUUUUUGUUUGCUUUCCCCCCAUUUCUUCGCGGACCUCCUUCCCUUCAUUUCGCUUUUUCGCCUCUCACCGGGUGUUUGCGUUCUCAUGGAGGGGUGAUGGAGGGUGUGUUCAGUGGAUAAGAAAGAGGCGGCAGGGCAACAACAAAAGAAAGCACCGGAUACAGGGUUGGGCAAGUGUCUGUGUGGGGGUUCCGCAGUCCCGCGAUCUCUCUACUACGCCACAGUUCUCUUAUUUUGUCUCUCUUCUUUUUUUUGUUUUGAGCACUCCCUCGUUCCUCAUGAAAGCGCCUAUGUUCCUUCUCCUCGCACAUGUGUGUGCGUAUGCCGUUUCUUUUUUCGUACCCCUUUUCUCGUCUCCUUUUCUUUUUUUCCUAUCUCUUCUUGGCGGCUGUGUGAGGGAGGCUAUCACCGAGUGCGAGGCCGCAGCCUUUUUUCUCUCCAUACUCAUGCACGUCGGCGGCGGUGAGGAGAAGCCGGUGGACUGCACCGAAGUGACGCACUACUAAGCAUCUUCGAUCUACUUCCGUCUCUCUGUCUCUCUUCUUCUUUCACGUGCGCACGAAAAUGGGUUUCUCUCAGGCCGCAGCACUCAGUACACGUGCUGCGCUGGCGAAUGGGCCGCAAACAGAGGAAGCGACACGGUGAGAGAGGUGCAAAAAGUGCUCCUUCAAUGCGCCGCCCCAUUCUUCACCAUCACCAUCUUCUUGUGGAGUGGCUGCGCUGGUGGUGGCGGAUCCAUGCGUAUGCCAGCCCAUGUAUCUGUGCCCGAAUCGGGGAGGAAAAGCGAGCAGAGAGCAGAAAAAAAAGAAACGUGAGCAGGGCUAUUUGCUCAAGGGAUCAUACGCUGGUGGUAAGGUGCCAGUAGAGGGGCUGGGAUACCGCGGCGAAUGCAUGGAGCCAAGCAUAAAGCACCACACCCUUGCCCCAACUCCAUCCAAACGACCGGACAUAUCAAGACCUGUAAGUGUGUUCACUAUCGGAAUGUAGGCUCGACAGAAUGCGCACCGUCGAGAUUCCUUCACGUUAAUGCCGUCACAUCUUGUCUUUUUUAUUGCUGUGGCGUGCAUUUACUUUUUGGUUGCAUCAUUACUUGGCUCUUGCUAUGCUGCUGCACCUGCGCACCUACCACCAGCUCCUUUCAUUUUUUUUUCAACGUGCCAUCCCCCGAAGAACGUCAUCUUGAUGCCCUUUCUUUGUACUUUUUUUUUAAAUACCCUACAGCUCUGCGGUAGUUGUCGUUUCUACUGCUCUUCUUUUCCUCUUGUUCUGUCAGCUCACUGUAUCCGUUGGUCUGUCGCAUCCGCACAUCUUUUCGUCUUUGCUUGUGGGGAAACCUCCGUCCUGCUUGUGAGCCUUCAUCUUCUUCACCGGAUAGCCUUCUCCCUCUCUCUGCACAACCCCUUCUCUCUUCUGCCUGCACUUUCGUUCUCGUUUGCCCUUCUCCCCUCCCGCCACUCAUUGCUGCAACGGCGGGUGGCUGGCAGUGGCGGCAUGGGGUGCGGAUGGUGUGCUGUCUACUGCUGCGCUGGCGCAUGCUUCUCCGCGGGCCGCCUUCCUCUCCACACACCCACGCCUGCGAAAGGCCUGUGGGCUCAGCAGAGGGCGGGAUGCCCCCUGCUGCCUUGCCACACACGCAUAGCGGCGCCCCACCUGUGGGACGGCACGUGUGGUCAAGCGGGCCAGCCACGCCCUCUCCCCCACCCCCAGGCAGCAGCGUCGUCCUGAAACAGGCACCGAGGGCGCAGGAAUGCGAGCACUGUGCGCAGGUGCUGCCAAGCACAGCCGGCAUGCCGUAUCACACCCAGACAAGGCAUGCGCACGUGAGCAGAGCAGGAGCGAUGGGCGAACAAGGCGCGAGGAGACCCAAUAUACGAAUCAGCCGCCGCCCCCCUACUCGGCGCAUGUGUGCGGAGCGUGCGGUGACCUCUACGUCCGGCCGGGCCUGCGCUGAUGAGGCGCAGAUGCCGGAAGCAUGACGGGAGCACCCUCGAAUGGCACCAGCGAGUCCUCCAGACGCGCAUGAGGCGAGUCCCCACGCCACAUUACGGCAUGCCGCGGCUUGUGGCGACCGAGGGAGAGGCAUGGCAUGCAGGCAGGGCGUGCAAGGUCUCGGAGGGCCCUGGCCUGCGUGUGACCGACUUCCUUGCUGCGCUCGCCCGGCAUGCCCCCUUGAUUGCCACCCCCUUCUACCCGCACGGCAGACGCCACGGCCUCCGCCCACGAGCGGGACCCUGAAGGCGGCCCUGCUUGGAUCAGGGCAUGCGGUCCACCCAUGCGCGUGUGCCGCCGGGUGGCGCGGCAUGCGUGCGGGGGAGGGCAAGAAAAGCCGAUGGGACGCAUGGCCCGAUUUCGGCGGCAGAACUGCUCGUCCUGGUCGACGCGGAUGUGGCGGCAGUGCGACAGGGGUAGAUAAACUGUGUUGACUUUGGUACAUUUAUUGCUUUGUUCAUGGUAGAGCGGCACCUUAAAACGACAGAGAAAAAAGAAGUGCUCCUUUUUUCGGUUUGCUUUUCUGUCGUUACGGCUCACCCCGAUCGCGUGAGCGGUAGUGCAUCCUCUCUCUCUCUCUCCCCGCCCCUCUGAUUUAGCUGCGCGCGUAUUCCAAUUGCUCACCCAUUCCUCUCCCCUUUUGUUUUUGUGUGUGUGUGCGUGCGUGUUUGUUUUUUGUUUUGUUGUGCGCAUUGUGCUUCUCAGUGCGCCUGCUGCGUGCCCUGCAUAUGCGAUUUUGGGAGAUCCUUAGCUUGUAUGUUUAUGGUUUCGUUUCCGUUUUUAGUUACGCAUAUGGUUUUUUGUUUGGCACCGGAAAGCCGUUAUGAAAAGAAAAAAAAACAGAUAACCACACACAUACACACACAUACACAUAGACAAGCGGUUAUGGAGGAGUGAGGCCAUCAUUCCUGCGAGGGGGAGGUAGAGGAGUGCUUGUCUCUCGUUCUUUCGGCCGUUGCGUACUUUCAUCUUUUUCUAUGGUAUUGGUAACGCAUACACUGAACCUCUGUUGGGCGUCUUCUCUCCUCACCGUCUUCGUGGUCUGUGAAAGCGUCGCGAUGCUGUAGUGAAGGGACGCUCGGACCUAUAGAGGUGCCCACCAUGUGGUCGAAACCAAGUCUCGCACCGCCAACCACCAACUCUUUUCCCUUCCUUUCUGUACUCUCUACUAGCUCUUGUCUUCCCCCGCCCUCUUCCUCUUUCUAUUACUCGGAUUCGUAUACUGGCGCACACCUUUCUUUUUCUACUUUCUUCGCCUCACAAUAUUGUCUCUCCGACCCGCACGCAUCCACUCACAUCCCAUCAUCCCCUCCUUUCCCCCCUUUUUCUGCACGCGCGCCACUCUUCACCACCGCCACCUCCGUAG
rnacentral:misc_RNA from 1 species